UCAAUACCCAACCAACGCCACACACGUAUCGGCACCGCCUUCGGGGUGCUGCGCUCGAUCCCUCCACUAUAUGGGACGUUCGCGGUCGAAGUCGGGGGUACGUGGAGGUCCCAAC
rnacentral:sRNA from 1 species